GAGUUUGAUCAUGGCUCAGAACGAACGCUGGCGGCGUGCUUAACACAUGCAAGUCGUGCGGGAAAGUUCCCUUCGGGGAGCGAGUAUAGCGGCGAACGGGUGAGUAACACGUAGGUAACCUACCCUGGGGUCUGGGAUAACCCACCGAAAGGUGGGCUAAUACCGGAUAAGACCACGGGGGCCUCGGCCCCUGAGGUAAAAGAUGGCCUCUGCUUGCAUGCUAUCACCCCGAGAUGGGCCUGCGCGCCAUUAGCUUGUUGGUGAGGUAACGGCUCACCAAGGCUGAGAUGGCUAGCUGGUCUGAGAGGAUGACCAGCCACACUGGGACUGAGACACGGCCCAGACUCCUACGGGAGGCAGCAGUGGGGAAUAUUGCGCAAUGGGCGAAAGCCUGACGCAGCGACGCCGUGUGGGUGAUGAAGGCCUUUGGGUCGUAAAGCCCUGUCAGAGGGGACGAAAUCUCGUCGGCCCAAUACGUCGGCGACUUGACGGUACCCUCAGAGGAAGCACCGG
rnacentral:rRNA from 1 species